rnacentral:rRNA from 1 species
ACACGUGGGUUGACCUACCUUCGGAGUGGGGGAUAACGUCCCGAAAGGGACGCUAAUACCGCAUAACAUCCUGUCCUUGAACGGAUGGAGAUCAAAGCCGGGGAUCGCAAGACCUGGCGCUUGAUGAGGGGCCCGCGUCUGAUUAGCUAGUUGGUGAGGUAACGGCCCACCAAGGCGACGAUCAGUAUCCGGCCUGAGAGGGCGGACGGACACACUGGGACUGAGACACGGCCCAGACUCCUACGGGAGGCAGCAGUGGGGAAUUGUUCACAAUGGGCGCAAGCCUGAUGACGCAACGCC